rnacentral:rRNA from 1 species
GACGAACCACACGAACGUUAUUCGGAAUUACUGGGCUUAAAGGGUGCGUAGGCGGCGCAGAAAGUUGGGUGUGAAAUCCCUCGGCUCAACCGAGGAACUGCGCCCAAAACUACUGUGCUUGAGGAAGAUAGAGGUAAGCGGAACUUACGGUGGAGCGGUGAAAUGCGUUGAUAUCGUAAGGAACACCCGUGGCGAAGGCGGUUCUCUGGGACGGUACUGACGCUGAGACGCGAAAGCGUGGGGAGCGAACAGG